CGGCUAACUACGUGCCAGCAGCCGCGGUAACACGUAGGGCGCAAGCGUUGUCCGGAAUCAUUGGGCGUAAAGAGCCCGUAGGCGGUCUGUUGCGUCCGCUGUGAAAACUCGGGGCUUAACCCCGAGCUUGCAGUGGAUACGGGCAGACUAGAGGUAGGUAGGGGAGAAUGGAAUUCCCGGUGUAGCGGUGAAAUGCGCAGAUAUCGGGAGGAACACCGGUGGCGAAGGCGGUUCUCUGGGCCUUACCUGACGCUGAGGAGCGAAAGCGUGGGGAGCGAACAGGAUUAGAUACCCUGGUAGUCCACGCCGUAAACGUUGGGCGCUAGGUGUGGGGUCCUUCCACGGACUCCGUGCCGCAGCUAACGCAUUAAGCGCCCCGCCUGGGGAGUACGGCCGCAAG
rnacentral:rRNA from 1 species